rnacentral:rRNA from 1 species
GAUGAACGCUGGCGGCGUGCCUAAUACAUGCAAGUCGAGCGAACAGACGAUGAGCUUGCUCCUCUGACGUUAGCGGCGGACGGGUGAGUAACACGUGGAUAACCUACCUAUAUUACUGGGAUAACUUCGGGAAACCGGAGCUAAUACCGGAUAAUAUAUUGAACCGCAUGGUUCAAUAGUGAAUGACGGUUUUGCUGUCACUUAUAGAUGGAUCCGCGCCGGAUUAGCUAGUUGGUAAGGUAACGGCCUACCAAGGCGACGAUGCGUAGCCGACCUGAGAGGGUGAUCGGCCACACUGGAACUGAGACACGGUCCAGACUCCUACGGGAGGCAGCAGUAGGGAAUAUUCCGCAAUGGGCGAAAGCCUGACGGAGCAACGCCGCGUGGGUGAUGAAGGUCUUCGGAUCGUAAAACUCUGUUAUUAGGGAAGAACAACUGUGUAAGAAACCAUGCCCGUUUUGACGGUACCUAAACAGAAAGCCCCGGCUAACUACGUG